AGAGGAUCUCAUUGGCAGGAGGCAGGUUUCCUGUUGAUCUCCUGCAGCUGUGUGGAGAUGCGAGACGUCUGCAGAAGUAAAGCUUGAUGGUUCUCAACCAGCAGACUCUGGUGACGAGCCAUGUUCUGCAGAUCCAGGAUCUGCUGAGAGCCCUGAGAAGAAGACGUUUAUUGAGACAGCAUCAAGCUCAAGGAGGGACGCAGAAGGUGGGGCGACGCCUCACUGUUUUCUAUUGGCCAGCCGCCACUGAGUUGAAGUCUCAAGACACAAUGAAGGAGGGAGACUUCCUCCGAGGGACAAAAUGAUUCACAACUACCCCCCCACCCCCGACCGACUGAAUCCCCCCCCCCCCCCCAAUCCCAAUAGCAGACUCCACCCCCUUCUCCAGCACCCUUCAACCUGACACACCAAGCAACAUCAAAACAUCUGGAGAUACGAGGAAGGUUAUAAAGCUGUGAGACAAAAGUAGUGAGGUAGACGUACAACAAGUACCUCAAAGAAGUAAUACAGUAACAAGAACUAUAUGUACCCCUUAGAUGUAGUUCGGUAUAAUGUAAUAUAUGUACCUUUUGAAGAGUAAUACAGUACAAAGUACUAGAUGUACCCCUGAGAUCUAGUACAGUAUAAUGCAAUACAUGGUCCUCUGAGAGGUAGUAAAGUAUAAAGUACUACAUGGACCUACAUGGAGACUCAUUACAAAAAAGAAC
ensembl:lncRNA